rnacentral:sRNA from 1 species
ACGGAGUACGUGUACAUUUUGGUUCUGAGUGCGCCAUGCACACCCACCUGACUACUGCUCGCUACAUUUGGUUGGCC